AUGCAAGUCGGACGGUAACAGGGAUUGCUUGCAAUCCGCUGACGAGUGGCGCACGGGUGCGCAACGCGUAUAGAACCUACCCUUUACAGGGGGAUAGCCCAGAGAAAUUUGGAUUAAUACCCCGUAGUACCUAUUAGAGGCAUUUCUAAUAGGUUAUAGUUUUCGAACGGUAAAGGAUGGCUAUGCGUCUUAUUAGCUAGUAGGUAAGGUAACGGCUUACCUAGGCUACGAUAAGUAGGGGCCCUGAGAGGGGGAUCCCCCACACUGGUACUGAGACACGGACCAGACUCCUACGGGAGGCAGCAGUGAGGAAUAUUGGACAAUGGGCGGAAGCCUGAUCCAGCCAUGCCGCGUGCAGGAAGACGGCCCUAUGGGUUGUAAACUGCUUUUAUACGGGAAGAAUAAGGGAUACGUGUAUCCUGGUGACGGUACCGUAAGAAUAAGGACCGGCUAACUCCGUGCCAGCAGCCGCGGUAAUACGGAGGGUCCGAGCGUUAUCCGGAAUUAUUGGGUUUAAAGGGUCCGCAGGCGGGCAAUUAAGUCAGAGGUGAAAUGGUGCGGCUCAACCGUAGCACUGCCUUUGAUACUGGUUGUCUUGAGUCAUGGUGGAGUGGCCGGAAUAUGUAGUGUAGCGGUGAAAUGCAUAGAUAUUACAUAGAACACCGAUCGCGAAGGCAGGUCACUAACCAUGUACUGACGCUGAUGGACGAAAGCGUGGGGAGCGAACGGGAUUAGAUACCCCGGUAGUCCACGCCGUAAACGAUGGAUACUAGCUGUCCGCUGCCUUGAGCAGUGGGCGGCCAAGCGAAAGUGAUAAGUAUCCCACCUGGGGAGUACGUUCGCAAGAAUGAAACUCAAAGGAAUUGACGGGGGCCCGCACAAGCGGUGGAGCAUGUGGUUUAAUUCGAUGAUACGCGAGGAACCUUACCAGGGCUUAAAUGCAGAAUGACAGGUUUAGAGAUAGACUUUUCUUCGGACAUUUUGCAAGGUGCUGCAUGGU
rnacentral:rRNA from 1 species